CCAGUGGCGAAGGCGACUUUCUGGUCUGUAACUGACGCUGAUGUGCGAAAGCGUGGGGAUCAAACAGGAUUAGAUGCCCUGGUAGUCCACGCCGUAAACGAUGAGUGCUAAGUGUUAGGGGGUUUCCGCCCCUUAGUGCUGCAGCUAACGCAUUAAGCACUCCGCCUGGGGAGUACGACCGCAAGGUUGAAACUCAAAGGAAU
rnacentral:rRNA from 1 species